UCCCUGGUAGCUCAGACGGUAAAGCGUCUGCCUGCAAUGCAGGAGACCCGGGUUUGAUCCCUGGGUUGGGAU
rnacentral:tRNA from 1 species